AUUUUUAAAAAAUUCUUGACGUAGGAGUGCUUUUUCCAGUGAUGUUAAUUGAUAAAUAUUGAAAAAUCUAAAACUUGUGACUAAAAUUCUAGCAUAUUUGAUGACUAGUUUGGAUCAUUAUAAGAGGGAAAACUUGAAUACCAGCAUCCAGGUGUUAUUUUCUGAUAACUUUUCAGUAUUUUCUAUUUUUCCUUCAAAUCUAGAUUCCAAAUUACAGAAAUGCAGUCAUUGUAGCUAAGUCUCCUGAUGCUGCAAAGAGGGCCCAGUCCUAUGCGGAGAGACUGCGUCUGGGUUUGGCCGUCAUUCACGGGGAAGCUCAGUGCACGGAACUGGACAUGGACGAUGGUCGUCACUCCCCGCCUAUGGUCAAAAAUGCUACUGUGCACCCAGGCCUGGAGUUGCCAUUGAUGAUGGCCAAAGAGAAGCCACCGAUAACUGUAGUUGGAGAUGUUGGAGGCCGCAUCGCAAUCAUC
rnacentral:lncRNA from 1 species